UACGGGGGGGGCUUAGUGUUAUUCGUCUUGAUGGGCGUAAAGGGAGCGUAGGUGGUUUGUAAGUAAUGGGUAAAAGACUGGUAAUAAGCCUUAAUCGCUAUUAGACUGCAAAACUUGAGUCUUACAGAAGAUACAGGACUAUUGUGGAGAAGUGAAAUCCGUCGAUACUAUAUGGACGUCAUUGCGAAAGCGUGUAUCACUGAAGAUACUGACACUGAGGCUCUAAAGCUGGGGAGCAAAAAGG
rnacentral:rRNA from 1 species